rnacentral:lncRNA from 1 species
ACUACCUUCUGAAAUCUUUAUCAGAAAACGGUAUACAGGCUUGUGGUACAGUUCGAGAAAAUAGGAUCAACAAAUGUCCUUUAGUUUCAUCCUCAACCAUCAAAAAACAAGAUCGAGGUACCUAUGAUUACAAAUCAGAUAGCGAUGUAAGUAAGCUUUCUAGUAACCCCUGUUCAAAAUUCCACCAGAAGAGUGAAGUCUGAACAUAAAAAGAUGUAACUCAACCAAAUUUGAUAAGACAAUAUAACAUUGGAAUGGGUGGGGUUGACCUUUUUGAACGUUUAGCUGCUUCUUAUCGUCCCCGACUUAGAUCAAAAAAAUGCUUUUCGCUUUUUUCAACAUGAGAAUGCAAAUAUAACACACCUUGAGUUUCGCAGAAACGUUGCUCUAGCCCUUGUAAAAGCAGGUUCAGGUCAAA